rnacentral:rRNA from 1 species
UACGUAGGGUGCGAGCGUUGUCCGGAAUUACUGGGCGUAAAGAGCUCGUAGGUGGUUUGUCGCGUUGUUCGUGAAAACCGGGGGCUUAACCCUCGGCGUGCGGGCGAUACGGGCAGACUUGAGUACUGCAGGGGAGACUGGAAUUCCUGGUGUAGCGGUGGAAUGCGCAGAUAUCAGGAGGAACACCGGUGGCGAAGGCGGGUCUCUGGGCAGUAACUGACGCUGGAGGAGCGAAAGCAGUGGGGAGCGAACAGG